GACGAACGCUGGCGGCGUGCUUAACACAUGCAAGUCGAACGGAAAGGCCCUGCUUUUGUGGGGUGCUCGCGUGGCGAACGGGUGAGUAACACGUGAGUAACCUGCCCUUGACUUUGGGAUAACUUCAGGAAACUGGGGCUCAUACCGGAUAGGAGCUCCUGCUGCAUGGUGGGGGUUGGAAAGUUUCGGCGGUUGGGGAUGGACUCGCGGCUUAUCAGCUUGUUGGUGGGGUAGUGACUUACCAAGGCUUUGACGGGUAGCUGGCCUGAGAGGGUGACCGGCCACAUUGGGACUGAGAUACGGCCCAGACUCCUACGGGAGGCAGCAGUGGGGAAUAAUGCAAAAUGGGCGGAAGCCUGAUGCAGCAACGCCGCGUGCGGGAUGACGGCCUUCGGGUUGUAAACCGCUUUCGCCUGUGACGAAGCGUGAGUGACGGUAAUGGGUAAAGAAGCACCGGCUAACUACGUG
rnacentral:rRNA from 1 species